rnacentral:rRNA from 1 species
GGAAUUUUGGACAAUGGGCGAAAGCCUGAUCCAGCAAUGCCGCGUGAGUGAAGAAGGCCUUCGGGUUGUAAAGCUCUUUUGUCAGGGAAGAAACGGUGAGGGCUAAUAUCCUUCGCUAAUGACGGUACCUGAAGAAUAAGCACCGGCUAACUACGUGCCAGCAGCCGCGGUAAUACGUAGGGUGCAAGCGUUAAUCGGAAUUACUGGGCGUAAAGCGUGCGCAGGCGGUUUUGUAAGUCUGACGUGAAAUCCCCGGGCUCAACCUGGGAAUUGCGUUGGAGACUGCAAGGCUAGAAUCUGGCAGAGGGGGGUAGAAUUCCACGUGUAGCAGUGAAAUGCGUAGAGAUGUGGAGGAACACCGAUGGCGAAGGCAGCCCCCUGGGUCAAGAUUGACGCUCAUGCACGAAAGCGUGGGGAGCAAACA